rnacentral:tRNA from 1 species
GGUCGGGUGGCCGAGCGGUUUAAGGCACCGGUCUUGAAAACCGGCGUACGCGAAAGCGUACCGGGGGUUCGAAUCCCUCCCCGACCG